rnacentral:rRNA from 1 species
AGUGAACGCUGGCGGUAGGCCUAACACAUGCAAGUCGAACGGCAGCACAGUAAGAGCUUGCUCUUACGGGUGGCGAGUGGCGGACGGGUGAGGAAUACAUCGGAAUCUACUUUUUCGUGGGGGAUAACAUAGGGAAACUUACGCUAAUACCGCAUACGACCUACGGGUGAAAGCAGGGGAUCUUCGGACCUUGCGCGAUUGAAUGAGCCGAUGUCGGAUUAGCUAGUUGGCGGGGUAAAGGCCCACCAAGGCGACGAUCCGUAGCUGGUCUGAGAGGAUGAUCAGCCACACUGGAACUGAGACACGGUCCAGACUCCUACGGGAGGCAGCAGUGGGGAAUAUUGGACAAUGGGCGCAAGCCUGAUCCAGCCAUACCGCGUGGGUGAAGAAGGCCUUCGGGUUGUAAAGCCCUUUUGUUGGGAAAGAAAAGCAGCAGGUUAAUACCCCGCUGUUCUGACGGUACCCAAAGAAUAAGCACCGGCUAACUUCGU